UCCCUUUUUGGAUGUAAAGUAAUUAAGGGAAUUUUUUUUCCCAUUACACAGAAAAUAUUGAAAGUAUUUUCACUAAAAUAAAAAAAAAAUUUUAUUUAAAUUUUUUUUUAGAAUUUUUCUUGUUUUUUGGUGAACGAAUUUGUUUUUUUUUAAUUGUAAAGAUUUAAAGUAUUAGUUUUUUUAUAAUUUAGUUAAUAUUAUAUGAUUGAUAUUAUGUAUCAUAUAAUUUUAAUCUAACAAAGGUUAAUUAAGAUAAUUCGAAUUAUUUUGUUCCUUAUUAAUCAAAUAUUCAAUAAUUUUAAAGAAAAUAUUCAAUGAACUAGCUAAUAAAGCAUUACCUAAUUCUAAAGAAGAGAAAUAGCGACAAGAAAUAACGAUGAAAGGCUAAAUUUGAGUUUUGCAAUUGAAAUAAUAUAAAAUUAAAAAAUUCCUAAAGUAACAAUUGAAAGAAAAGCCUUUUCCAGUAGAAGCGUUUAUUCUAGUUCCAGUAGCAUAUAUUAAAAUUGUUGCAGUUAAAACACUCGUAGUUGAAUUUCGAAGAAUCAAUUUUUAAGGUAAUACUUUAUCGGAUAUGUGUUAAGUAGUGUUUCGAUGCAUAUUUUCCACAUUCCUGAUAAUACGUGUUCUUUAAAAUACGAUAGGUUCUUUUUAAAAAUUCUUCGUUGCUCUAUGUGAUGGGAAUUUUUGUUACUUUAAGUAAAUUAGAGUGCUCAAAGAAAACAGCUUAUAAAACAGCUAAAACUGUGUUUGAAUACUACAACAUGGAAUAACAAAAUUGAACAAGCUAAAAUUUUUGUACUUUUUUCUUAUUUUGGCUUAGUUACGAUUAAUAGAAGUAAUUUGGGGGCAUUCGUAUUCAGAUGCCAGAGGUGAAAUUCUUAGAUUUUCUGGAGACGAGCAACUGAGAAAAUAUUUGUCUAAAAUACUUCCAUUAAUCAAGAACGAAAGUUAAGGGAGUGAAGACGAUCAGAUACCGUCGUAAUCUUAACCAUAAACUAUGCCGACUAGGUGUUGGAUGAAAGUGUAAAAAAUAAAAGAUGAUCUAAUGUAACAGUCAGAUAAUCUUUUAGCUUGCUUCCUUCGGUACCUUAUAAGAAAUCAAAGUCUUUGGAUUCUGGGGAGAGUAUCCGCGCAAGCGAGAAAGUUAAAAAGAAUUGACGGAAGGAAGCCAUCAGGAGUGGAGCUUUCUGAUUAAUUUGUCUCAACACGGGAAAACUCACUAGUUUAAGACAAGAGUAUUAUUAAUAGAUUAAUAACUCUUUCUUGAUUUCUUGGUGGUUUAUGACAAUUUUUAGUCUCUGAUUAUGAUUUUUUUGGUUAAUUCCUGCAACAAAUGAGGUCUUAAUCAGCUAAGCGGUAAACACAACAUAUUCGUGGGAAAAUUGGAAUAUUGAUUUAUUAAUUGCUUGUUUAAUGACUUUACUAGAGUAUUGAACAAACAAAUUAAUAAAGAGUAUAUAUAACUAAACAUAUACUUUUAUAUAUAUAUUGGCAUUUUAUAAUGUAUAAUAUUUAUAUUAUACAUUAUUCUGUAUCGCUUAACAGAUAUAUGUUUACUUUUAUAAAUGUGUUUUUAUUUACAAAGAAUUAAUUAGUAUAUCCUUUUAAUUAAAAACAAACACACACUUUAUAACAAAUAAAAAAAGUUAAAACUCUGAUUUAUUCAAUG